rnacentral:lncRNA from 1 species
AAAAAAACUUUGCAGCUUCUUGAAAUUGGAAAAUAUCUUAUCUUAUUCCAAUGGCAGAUUUAUUUUUGUUUUCACUCAUUACAAAUGGUUCAGAUUUUCUCUUUGACGUGUAACAGAAGUAAGACCAAAACGCUUCUGUAGAGUACAGUUGGAGUUUUUUCCUACUGUAGCACCUCCAGCUUCAGCACCUCCAAAACUCAGCUGUGAGACCAGGAAGAGAGCCCACAUUACCCAGAUUUUACAGUCUCUGCAUCAGCUCUAAGUUUCUUUUAGAAUAGAUUUUAAGGUUCUUUUAUUAGUUUUUAAAGCCUUUGACAACCUUACAUCAACCAAUCUAUCAGAUUUGCUUCUAUUAUAUGAUCCUGUGAGGGCCUUCAGUUCUGAGGAGCUGGGAACCUAAAGACUUGAGCAAAGCAAACUAAAGAACUUUAUUUUGAGUUUGAUCUUCUUCAGGUAACUCUGUUCAUCAGUUUCUUUUACUUUAUUCUGUAAUGUUUUCACCCUGAAUUGUGGUCUACUUUAUUCAGCCAUAUGUUAUUCUUUUAUUAUGUUAACUUUCUUUGUGUCUUAUCUCAAUUUAUUUAUUUCUAAGCUGAUUUCUCAGUCCUAUCCAGUUGUCUUUUUU